rnacentral:rRNA from 1 species
AUGAACGCUGGCGGCGUGCCUAAUACAUGCAAGUCGAGCGAACGGACGAGAAGCUUGCUUCUCUGAUGUUAGCGGCGGACGGGUGAGUAACACGUGGAUAACCUACCUAUAAGACUGGGAUAACUUCGGGAAACCGGAGCUAAUACCGGAUAAUAUUUUGAACCGCAUGGUUCAAAAGUGAAAGACGGUCUUGCUGUCACUUAUAGAUGGAUCCGCGCUGCAUUAGCUAGUUGGUAAGGUAACGGCUUACCAAGGCAACGAUGCAUAGCCGACCUGAGAGGUGAUCGGCCACACUGGAACUGAGACACGGUCCAGACUCCUACGGGAGGCAGCAGUAGGGAAUCUUCCGCAAUGGGCGAAAGCCUGACGGAGCAACGCCGCGUGAGUGAUGAAGGUCUUCGGAUCGUAAAACUCUGUUAUUAGGGAAGAACAUAUGUGUAAGUAACUGUGCACAUCUUGACGGUACCUAAUCAGAAAGCCACGGCUAACUACGUG